rnacentral:rRNA from 1 species
AUUGAACGCUGGCGGCAGGCCUAACACAUGCAAGUCGAGCGGAGCGGGGGACGGGGGAGGAAUGCCUAGGAAUCUGCCGGGUAGCGGGGGAUAACGUCCGGAAACGGGCGCUAAUACCGCAUAUUAUUAGAGGAGCCUAGGUCGGAUUAGCUAGUUGGUGGGGUAAUGGCCUACCAAGGCGACGAUCCGUAACUGGUCUGAGAGGAUGAUGAGUCACACUGGAACUGAGACACGGUCCAGACUCCUACGGGAGGCAGCAGUGGGGAAUAUUCGACAAUGGGCGAAAGCCUGAUCCAGCCAUGCCGCGUGUGUGAAGCAGGUCUUCGGAUUGUAAAGCACUUUAAGUUGGGAGGCGUUACCUACAGAAUAAGCACCGGCUAACUUCGUGCCAGCAGCCGCGGUAAUAC